rnacentral:tRNA from 1 species
AGAUUUUUAAGAAAUUGAAAUUAUUAGUUAAUUUUCCGUCAUUUAAUAAAUAUGUUACUCCAUU